rnacentral:tRNA from 1 species
GACAAGAUGACUGAUAAAAGUGAAGGAUUGUAAACCCUUAAAUGUAGGAAAAACCCUACUCUUCGUCA